rnacentral:lncRNA from 1 species
AUGCCAAAAUCUCAAAAUUUCUCAUCCCUUAUCCCAUAGGUGGCAUCCCAUUUAAAUAGGGAAUGAAGAAGUGGCAAGGAGCCCAAGGGGUGCUAACUCUUGGCACUCCACUUUCUCAUGUAGAGAAAUAAUUUUUUGAUAAAUUAAAUGGCAUAGAAGAGCCUUCAUAUAGAAGGACUCCUCCUUUUCUGCAUCCCAUAAAUUUUUCAUAUUUAUUUGGCAUGUGAUAAUAAAGAAAAUUGAUGAAAAUGAAG